rnacentral:rRNA from 1 species
CUGCUCCUCCUCCUCGCGGUGGCCGGGGCCGUGCUCCGCCCGGCCGCGGCGGAGAUCAAGCAGGAGUCCUUCAAGGAUGACUCCCGCGGGACCAUCCUCUUCGAGAAGUUCGGCUUCUCGCACCGCGGGUCCGUCUCCAUCGCGCUCACCGGCGCCAAGGCCGUCUCCAAGCUCGCCAAGCCGGACCCCGCGCAGCUCGGCUUCUUCCUCCUCUCCGACGAGGCCCUCUUCGAGGCCAUCUACGAGCAGCCGCCGCCCACGGAUCUGAACCCCAACCCCGACCCCAACACGGGCUGCGUCCUCGCCAGCCGCUACGUCAUCCCGCUCUUCACCUUCGCCGACCUCGACGCCAGCGGCAACUACAAGAAGACCUUCCCCGUCUCCCACCCCGACGAGUACAGCCUCUUCUUCGCCAACUGCGCGCCCGAGACCGCCGUCACCAUGGAGGUACGCACCGACAUGUACAACACCAACCCGGACGGCUCCAAGGACUACCUCUCCGUCGGCCAGGCCCCCGUCCCGACGAUCUACGCCUUUUUCGCGCUCGGCUACGUCGCCUUCCUGGCCGCCUGGCUCUACCUCACCCUCUACCACAACCGCCUCUCGGCGCACCGCAUCCACCACCUCAUGUCCUGCCUGCUCCUCGCCCGUAUGCUCUACUGCAUCUCGGCCGCCGAGGACCAGCACUACAUCCGCGUCGCUGGAUCUUCCCAUGGGUGGGACGUCAUGUUCUAUCUCUUCCAGCUUGUUAAGGGUGUGAUCUUGUUCGCGGUGAUCGCGCUGAUUGGUACCGGGUGGUCGUUCCUCAAGCCCUUCCUGCAGGACAAGGAGAAGAAGGUGCUCAUGGUGGUGAUCCCGUUGCAGGUUGCAGCUAACAUUGCUGCAGCUGUCGUUGGUGAGACCGGGCAAUACUUGCAAGCAUGGGUGACAUGGAACCAGAUCUUCUUGUUUGUUGAUGUAGCCUGCUGCUGCGCGGUGCUCUUCCCAGUUGUGUGGUCGAUGCGAUCGCUGCGAGAGUCAUCCAAGACAGAUGGCAAGGCUGCCCGAACCCUCGCCAAGCUCACGCUCUUCCGCCAGUUCUACGUCGUCGUGAUUGGAUACUUGUACUUCACAAGGAUCAUUGUCUAUGCGCUCAAGACAAUCACCAACUACAAGUACAGAUGGGUGAGUGUUGCGGCAGAGGAGGUGGCCACCAUGGCAUUCUACAUGUUCAUGUUCUACAUGUUCAAGCCGGCUGAGAGGAACCAGUACUUUGCUCUGGAUGACGAUGAGGAGGAGGCUGCGGAGAUGGCUCUCCGUGAGGAGGAGUUCGAGCUCUAG